UGUUGUAUCAACUGUAACCCUGGAUACGCUGUUGAGCAUAUGAAAACAAAUAAAUUUAUUGAACUGGUCGGAAUUUUUUCAAGACAAUUGUAAAAAUUUGAAUCAAAGUAUCGAAAUUGAAAAAACUCCAGGACAUACGAAACACUACCGAGCUACUGCUGCAACCAACAAGCGGCACGAUUUGAAACUUCUACAACCGCCGCGGAAGCAAAAAUAUGCGAUGCCGCUGAUGUUUCAUAACCUGAACAUCGUUCGUCUGAUCCUGGACGAUACGAUCCAAGAGUUUAUCGGUGGUGUUUGUGACGAUGCCGGUGUGACUGCAGCAAGAAGCUCGCUAUCAUCCAGUUCAGUUGUCACUAUGCGACGGCCAGACGGAAGCUGAUGCGUCACUUUGCAACGACGAGUGCUACGUGAAACUAGAGCAGAAAAUAAUUUAGCGAAAUGUGGCAAUAUUCUCAUAAUACUGUCACCUAGUGACUAGAAGAAAAUUUCCUUGUAGUCACUAAGUGACGUCACUGUGAGAAUAGGGCCCAUGACUGCGUGUUUACUGUUCACGCGUCAAUGAGGAAUCCGAUGUGAUGAAUAUUACUGGACGCCGCGAUGUUUUUAAAAUUUAUACUAUGGAUAGUUUAUAGAAAAGUUGCUAGACUGUUAGCUGUAUUUGUUCUAAAGCAUUACAUAUAAUGGUAUGGUGUUUAAUGAGAAACAAUUCAUCUCCGCUAUGACUCAGUCGAACUGAACAUUGCACAUUAAGUUAAAGUUAAUAAUUUAAAAAGCAAAAAAAAACAACAAAAAAAACGUUCAAACCCUUAACACAUUCCCUCUGGUACAAAUAAUAAUAAAAAAUCGCCGUGCAGCAGAUAGUUCCAUUAGUCUCUCCAAUAUCAAAAAUAUUUCAUAUACCAGAGUCAUUAAACAACUGGUUAAAUUAAUUUCAAUGGUUAAUAAAAUUAUAGAAGCUAAUACUUCAUUACAAAAUUCUAACAGAUUUACAACAUUUUUGUAGAGCUUCCACUGUUAAAAAUAAAAUCAACAAUCAAAAUUAAAGUUAUCAACCGCAUCACCUCAUUUGCAUCGUUUUUCUCAAUCCUAAAGCCACCUUCAUUAGUCACUUUCCAUAUUCCCUUAGUCACUUA